rnacentral:tRNA from 1 species
UGCUGGGUCGUCUAACGGUAGGACCUCGGACUCUGAAUCCGAGUAUCAUGGUCCGAAUCCAUGCCCAGCAG